rnacentral:rRNA from 1 species
UCCACGCCCUAAACGAUGGCAACUAGGUGUUGGUGGUAUUGACCCCAUCAGUGCUGUAGCAAACGCGUUAAGUUGCCCGCCUGGGGACUACGGCCGCAAGGCUAAAACUCAAAUGAAUUGACGGGGGCCCGCACAAGCGGUGGAGCAUGUGGUUUAAUUCGAUGCAACGCGAAGAACCUUACCUACCCUUGACAUGUAGUGAACUUACCAGAGAUGGUUUGGUGCC